UACGAAGGGGGCUAGCGUUGUUCGGGAUCACUGGGCGUAAAGCGCACGUAGGCGGAUCUUUAAGUCAGGGGUGAAAUCCCGAGGCUCAACCUCGGAACUGCCUUUGAUACUGGGGAUCUCGAGUCCGGGAGAGGUGAGUGGAACUGCGAGUGUAGAGGUGAAAUUCGUAGAUAUUCGCAAGAACACCAGUGGCGAAGGCGGCUCACUGGCCCGGAACUGACGCUGAGGUGCGAAAGCGUGGGGAGCAAACAGG
rnacentral:rRNA from 1 species